CCUGCCAGACACGACUUGCCAUGCUACUAACUCGGUACUGAUGAGAACCGAGGCGUAAAAGUCUGCUCCACUGCCAACCUCUGACGUACACGGUUUGUGCUUCAGUUUCGUUGAGGACCAAUGUUGUUUCUUGGUUUCAGCUGGUGUUUAUGCACCGGUGGGCUUCUUGACCGACCUAGUAAGGGUGUUAUGCCUCGGUUAAGUGAAGAACCAAGGCAGUAACAUGUUUAAAUUUCUUCUGCGAACAGAACCACCUUCGUUCAUCUUCUUCUCAGCGCAAGUUACAAAAACCUGCGAGCUACAGAAACCCUGGCUGCCAUCUCCGUUUGCUUCCAUCUCUGUUUGCUUCCAUCGCGUUUGCUCCCAUCGCCGGUGACCGCCGUUUAUCGUCGUCGUCUACUCCUCUCCGUGUGGUCUCCACCGCCAAGUGCUUUAGUGUUUCCUCCGCUUUGCUUCCAUCUCCGCCGCGUCUCAGUUUUGGGUGGCUGUUGCGUCUGCCUCUGCUUCCAUCUCCGUCGCCAGUGCUUCCAUUUCAAUGUUGGAAAACCCUAGGUUGGUUUGUUCGAAUCAGUUCGAGGUUCAAUCACCCUCUGCACCAGGUAAUUAUGAAUUGGUUAGAAUUGGGUUAGUUUUAAUUGGAUGUAUACUAUUAGGAGAGGACAUGUUGUUAAUCCCAUCACUAUUGUUCAAAUGGAGUGCCCCUUUGGACUCGUGACAUUGAGGAGGAGAUAGUUCCUCUCUGUAGAAACUUGAGCUUCUUGGUCUUUCUGAGGAUUAGAAGCGGCUCGUAACUAUGUGGACCUCAUUUGUUAAGAAACAUCGGGUAGUUGAUGGUCCCAUAGCUGGAUCCUCUGCAUAUGCUGUAGAGGAAGUUGGUGCAUGUUGUGCAACUGGGGAUGGUGACAUCAUGAUGCGCUUCCUUCCAUGCUAUCAAGUUGUGGAAAGUAUGAGGUUGGGAAUGGAUCCCAAAUUGGCUACCAAAGAUGCAAUAGCACGAUUAGCGAAAAAAUUUCCAGAUUUUCUGGGAGCAGUUGUUUGAUAAGUUAUGUCACAUCUCUUACAUCAUUUAUGUGUAUUUCUCGUUAAAGUAUUUCCUUCUCCAUUUUAUGAAUCCUAAAAUCCCCUUUGACUUCAUGUUUUCUAUUGUCUAAUUUUAUAUUUGAAUCCUAAUAAUAACUAAUAGAGUAUUUAUAUUUUAACUUAAUGCAUAUUGUUUAGGCAAUACCUUGUUCUUGCACUAGUAAAUCGGAUGGAUUUAACACUAUUCAAAUUAAUUGCAGCAAUUGAGAGGGAAAUGACAGUAGCUCUAACACUUGGGUCAAUACCAAUAGAGGCUUCAGGUUCAAAUGGAAGCACAUUCUUCUUUGGGGAAACACUGGCUUGCUUGCAGAGCUGAGGCUGAAGAACUCGGGCAUGGCAGUUUUUCUCAAUGGAACUAUGGGUCUGAGUCAGGAACUUCAUUUAUCCCGGAGAGAACCCAGUCUAACUUUCUGGGGCACCCAAAUCAGGCUUUCUUGUUACAGUAUGCUAGUCUUGGAUAUUUUAACCCUAAUCAUUCUAAGCCACGUGUUUUGGAAGAACAUCAGCACCCAGGCAGUUUUCAAGAUUUGUCAUCCAAGAACUUGCAUGAUUUCUUGUUCAGAUUAAUAUGUUUUGUAGGAAGUUGAAGGUCUGAUUGAUUUUGUUGAAAUCAGAAAAUAAUGUAUUUUUAUUCCUCAGUUUCAGUGUGAUAUGGAAUAAAGUUAGGAAAUGGAAUUACAUGUGUGAUGAACUGGUAUCUCAUCAAGGGAGUGGGCCAAACAAUGGAUGUAAUGAAGAAAAAAAUUAGAUAUUGUUAUUGAAUACUUUUAAGAGUCAUACUUUUAGUAUUGAACAUCUAUAUUGAACAUAUGUAAUGAACCUCUUUCUUUUUAAUUUUUAUGUAUGAACAAUUAGUUGUAUGAAUGAUAUUAGGUUGAACAAUGUAGUUUAUUUUAUACAAUAUUAUUAAAUUUUAGUUCAUAUUAA